AUUAAUUUGAGAGUUUGAUCCUGGCUCAGGACGAACGCUGGCGGCGUGCCUAAUACAUGCAAGUCGAACGAACUCUGGUAUUGAUUGGUGCUUGCAUCAUGAUUUACAUUUGAGUGAGUGGCGAACUGGUGAGUAACACGUGGGAAACCUGCCC
rnacentral:rRNA from 1 species